rnacentral:rRNA from 1 species
CUUUGCUGAACAGCUCUCACAUCAUCUAAUUCUGCAAGGUAAGCAGAUGUCAGCUUGGUUAGUACUUGGAUGGGAGACCACUUGGCAAUAUCAGGAAUCUUCAAAGA